rnacentral:lncRNA from 1 species
CACACAGCAAAUUUUGACUCCUUUGGAUGUUUUCAACCAGAUUUUACAGAGAGAUGCAACAGAAUAAGAUUGUAUACCUGUUUUACUGAUAUAUGAGAGAGACUUGAAGAAGGUGACCACUGCAGAGAUUGAAUCAGCAUCCUCAGCAACUUUGAAAGUCUUGUCCUAUUUAAACAGGAGUAUGCAAAUCUCCAAAGGUUUGGUGGUUGCUUUGGUUAAGUGUUCAGAAGGUCUAAGGCUAAUUCUAGUCACAUAGACUUCUGUGAACCUCUUCAGUCAAGACAUCAGUCCAGGGACCUU